rnacentral:sRNA from 1 species
AAUUAUUUAAAAAAACACCGAAAAUUCAAGUAAUACGGAAAUAAGUAAAGGAGAAAGUCCCCUGUAAUUUUUCAUAGAGAAAGAGGAAGGAAUGGGGGGCAGCUGUGUAAGUCAAACAUGUUUGUAAAACUCCGUGAGUUUGAAACUAGUAAAAUAGAAAGUGAAAACCUGCUAUAAUUAUGGUGGAAUUGAGGGUGUCUUAUUGUGUUACUAGAGAAUUUUUUAAAGUAGGUUUUUAACAUUUUGACCUUGUUAAAAUGCUCCACUUUUCAAAACAGUCCUGACAGGAUAUCCUGCUUCCUUCCACGCAGAAGAGGUGGUUUGUGCAGAAGAGCAGGCCUCAGAAUGCUUUGCACAUGAGAGGAAUGGCAAGAGUUGCCUAUCACUGAGGAUUUGGGGAGGAGGGAUCACAGGAUAUGGGACUGAAAAUGAGACAGGGCCAGAUAGCAAAAGGCCUUGAAUGCUACACUAAGCACGAAGCAGCUCCUUAAUUUGUGCAUCACUGAAGCAAGAAUAGAGUGGAGGACAUGGCCCGUGUGGUCCUCAUGUUCUGAGUGGCUAUGACAUGGAGUUCUGUGUGAGCUCUCCAUGAAGAAAAUCCCGUCUCCAGGCAGUCAGUGGAGAUUUGAUCCUUACCACAAGAGCACGUGGACAAAUUUGAAUUAUCGUGGAUGUAUAUGGGCAGAAGAAGGUCUCAGAGCCAUAAGGGUGGGGCCCUGUUAGCUCUGUUGGUUCCACUCAGCAACCCACAGUGUGAGUGGGACCCUGCCAGCCCUGCUAGACGUGAGCAUUGUCUGGUGACACUGGCCCCCGCCUUCAUUACUGCAGCAAAGGAAGUGUGGCUAUGGCAGUUGUGGGUUUUGUAUUUUCUAUUUAAAUAUGUCCCUUAAUGUGCCAGUUGUUAAAAAGACUACCAGUGGGCUCUGAAGGGAUGCCUGGACACUUUGAAAGUGUGGUUCAGAUGUGAAAUUGCACUUAAAAGAUGUUUUAAGAGAGACGAGGGCACGUUGAUGUCAGUUUCGGUUUGGGCUGUGUAGUAGCAGCAUUUUGAACUUGGCCCUCUCUCCUUUCUGAGAGCUAAAAACCUUAUCUCCCUGCGGAUGGCAUUGCGUGCAGUUAAUUAUGGCCAGAUGGACUCAGCCGCUUCUUCAUCGUCUUCUCUCGGACUCUGCAGACCUACACCGUGCCUUUAAAGGAAGCAGGGCCCUCCCUGCUGAAGCAUUCAGUGAGCCCAGGCACCAGCACCUUCAAACCGAGUCUUUUCUCUCCUUAGUGCUGCUCCCCGCUUUCCAGGCCUUCCUGGGAUAUCUUAGAGCUCCUGAAGGUGGGGCGCUCCCCUCGAGGCAUUUUCUUCUGAGCUGUGAGCUACGGGCAAGCAGUGGAGGGGGAAGAGAGCAGCUGAAGCAGAUGCCGGUUCAACUUAUUUAAAGAUGUGGGACAAGCUCUGAGGAAGCCCCCAAGACAAUGAUGUCUGGUUGUGCACCAUUGAAGCAAGAACAGAAACCAUCCCAGAGUGGAGGACAUGGCCCAUGUGGUCCUCCUGUUCUGAGUGGCUGUGAGAUGGAGUUCCGUGUGAGCUCUCUACAGAAAAAGCCCUGUCUCCAGGCAGUCAGUGGAGAUUUGUUAAACGAGUUGAAACAGAAGAGGACAAGGAAUUGCUGUGGCUUUAGACAUUGCCAGGGCAUGUAGAAACUCACUCAGGAUUUACUACUGCAUCCACUGUGACUUAGGCGCAGGAGGGGUCACAGUCAGAAGGUUGUUUCUUCAAGUUUCUGAGCCAAACUUAACUCUAAAAAGCAAAUAUUCUGUGUUAAAAGACAGUAAUCAACACGGGAGCUACAUCAGACAUCAUAGGACAAAUUGUCAUCUAGAAGAGUAUAUUUUUAAUGCAGGAGAGUUUUUAAAACCCAGAUUGGUGUGAUUUCAUUCCAGAGAGCUCAGACAUAUGCUCAGCAAGUCUUGCAGAAGGAAUGUCGUCCCAAGUUUGCCAAGACAUCAAUGGCGCUGUUAUUUGAGCACAGGUAUAGCGUGGACUUACUCCCUUUUGUGCAGAAGGCCCCCAAAGACAGUGAAGCUGAGUCCAAGUACGAUCCUCCUUUUGGGUUCCGGAAGUUCUCCAGUAAAGUCCAGACCCUCUUGGAACUCUUGCCAGAGCACGACCUCCCUGAACACUUGAAAGCCAAGACCUGUCGGCGCUGUGUGGUUAUUGGAAGCGGAGGAAUACUGCACGGAUUAGAACUGGGCCACACCCUGAACCAGUUCGAUGUUGUGAUAAGAACUCAGUGCACUGCUCUUGGUCAGUGUGGCUCCAGGAACAGUGAGGGACGCAGGAAGCUCUUCACAGUCCCUGCCCACAAGGGACUUAACGUUUGAGAAGUUGAAACAAAAACACAAAAUGGUUGGAUGCUCCAAACUGUCAUACUGACCCUAAGUUGGAGGAGCAUGCUGCCGGCUACAGUUAAACAGUGCACCAGUUGAGGGAUAUUCAGAACAUGUUGGAAAUAAAACUACUAUAAGGAUGACUUAUCCAGAGGGCGCACCACUGUCUGACCUUGAAUAUUAUUCCAAUGACUUAUUUGUUGCUGUUUUAUUUAAGAGUGUUGAUUUCAACUGGCUUCAAGCAAUGGUAAAAAAUGAAACCCUGCCAUUCUGGGUACGACUCUUCUUUUGGAAGCAGGUGGCAGAAAAAAUCCCACUGCAGCCAAAACAUUUCAGGAUUUUGAAUCCAGUUAUCAUCAAAGAGACUGCCUUUGACAUCCUUCAGUACUCAGAGCCUCAGUCAAGGUUCUGGGGCCGAGAUAAGAACGUCCCCACAAUCGGUGUCAUUGCCGUUGUCUUAGCCACACAUCUGUGCGAUGAAGUCAGUUUGGCGGGUUUUGGAUAUGACCUCAGUCAACCCAGAACACCUUUGCACUACUUCGACAAUCAGUGCAUGGCUGCUAUGAACUUUCAGACCAUGCAUAAUGUGACAACGGAAACCAAGUUCCUCUUAAAGCUGGUCAAAGAGGGAGUGGUGAAAGAUCUCAGCGGAGGCAUUGAUCGUGAAUUCUGAACAUAGAAAACCUCAGUUGAAAAUGCAACUCUAACUCUGAGAGCUGUUUUUGACAGCCUUCUUGAUGUAUUUCUCCAUCCUGCAGAUACUUUGAAGUGCAGCUGAAGUUUUUAACUUUUAAUUUAAAAACACACAAAAAAUUUUAGCUCUUCCCACUUUUUUUUCCCUAUUUAUUUGAGGUCAGUGUUUGUUUUUGCACACCAUUUUGUAUAUGAAACUUAAGAAUUGAAUUGGAAAGACUUCUCAAAGAGAAUUGUAUGUAACGAUGUUGUAUUGAUUUUUAAGAAAGUAAUUUAAUUUGUAAAACUUCUGUUCGUUUACACUGCACAUUGAAUACAGGUAACUAAUUGGAAGGAGAGGGGAGGUCACUCUUUUGAUGGUGGCCCUGAACCUCAUUCUGGUUCCCUGCUGCGCUGCUUGGUGUGACCCACGGAGGAUCCACUCCCAGGAUGACGUGCUCCGUAGCUAUGCUGCUGAUACAGGGUCUGCGAUACAGUGGCGUGAGGCCUGGGCUGGUCGGAGAAGGGCACAACCCUUCUCUGUUGGUCUGCCUUCUGCUGAAAGACUCAAGAACCAACCAGGGAAGCUGUCCUGGAGGUCCCUGGUCGGGGAGGGACAUAGAAUCUGUGACCUCUGACAACUGUGAAGCCACCCUGGGCUGCAGAAACCACAGUCUUCCCAGCAAUUAUUACAAUUCUUGAAUUCCUUGGGGAUUUUUUACUGCCCUUUCAAAGCACUUAAGUGUUAGAUCUAACGUGUUCCAGUGUCUGUCUGAGGUGACUUAAAAAAUCAGAACAAAACUUCUAUUAUCCAGAGUCAUGGGAGAGUACACCCUUUCCAGGAAUAAUGUUUUGGGAAACACUGAAAUGAAAUCUUCCCAGUAUUAUAAAUUGUGUAUCUAAAAAAAAGAAACUUUUCUGAAUGCCUACCUGGCGGUGUAUACCAGGC